UACGUAGGGGGCUAGCGUUGUCCGGAAUCAUUGGGCGUAAAGCGCGCGUAGGCGGUCAGGUAAGUCCGGUGUGAAAGUCAAAGGCUCAACCUUUGAAUGCCGCUGGAUACUGCCUGACUUGAGUCCGGAAGGGGCGAGUGGAAUUCCUGGUGUAGCGGUGAAAUGCGCAGAUAUCAGGAGGAACACCAAUGGCGAAGGCAGCUACCUGGACAAUUGCUGACACUCAGGCACGAAAGCGUGGGGAGCAAAAGGG
rnacentral:rRNA from 1 species